ensembl:lncRNA
CCGCUGGGAGCUCUUCCUGGGGGGGAGGGGGUUCCCUCCCACUAGCUCGAAAAGCAAGAGAGCCUGUCCCCUGCCUUUCCAUGCAGUCUGUUCCUGUAAUCGGGGCCCGGGGCCCACAGUUCUAAUGGACGGAGAUCCAGGCUCCGCGAGGGUCGGUCACCAGCUUCUGCUGUUGGGUUGAGCAAAGCCGUCCCCGUGGGGAACCGGACCAUGUCAACAAGGGGCCGAAGGGCCAAGAGCAUGGGCCAGCCAGCUUCCUGGAGGCCAGGGGGAGAUGCCCCCCAGGGGGCCCAGAUCGCACCCGGGGUGGGGGGCGCGGGCCGGACCCCGCGGCUCUCACGGCCCCCUCCGCCCAGAGCCGGGCCCCCGGGUCCGGCCGCCGGCGGGGCCCUCCCCCGCCACGGGCCCGGGUGCCGCCCCCCGGCUCCUGGCAGAGGCGGGCGUGGAGGCCGAGGAGGAACCGGGGGAGGGGCGGCUCAGUUCCCCGCGCCCCUCCUCACCGGCCACCAUCUUCCGGCCCUGGCCCCCCGGAGCAGCGGGGGAUGGGGCCCAGCCCGCGGCAGGGAGAGAAAGGGCAGGUGGAGGGGCGGCGGGAGCGGCGGGGCAGGCCGGGCCCGCGGCCAUGGCGACCAGAGGGGCUGCCCGGAGGGUCCCAGGAACGGGGCGCGGGGGGCGGAGUGAGGGGGGCGUGCGCUCCUUCCACACCCAGCUCGGCGCCGCCCCCCACCCCCACCGCCCCCGGGACACACACACCUGAGGCUGGACCACACACGGGCGCGCGCGCACACACUCCAGCCACACUUGCUGCACGGCUCAGCUUACUACACACUUACCCAGACGGCGUGCGUGGGGGGGAGCCCGCAGCUCGCGCUCCGAGCGCACCCCUCCAGGCCCGGCAACUCUUAAGGCAGGGGCGGGCCUCACCCCCGCGCGCAGCCCCCGGCUCGUCCCACAACUUCUCCCGACGCACAACUCCGCGCUGGGUUCAGCCCUGCGGCCCCUGCAUUCCCCCCUCAACGCCCCCGCCAAGUCCCCUGUGCCCCACAGCCCCUGCACGCACACACACAGACACACACACACCCCCUGCGCGCGCGCGCACACACACCCCUGCGCGCGCACACACAGACACACACACACCCUGCGCGCGCGCACACACACACCCUGCGCGCGCACACACAGACACACACACACACCCUGCGCGCGCGCACGCACACACACACCCUGCACACAGACACACAUACACGCACGCCCGGGCACACACAGAUGGCCCAGCGGCGAAAGAAGAAACCAGAAGAGAUGCCCGCGCGGAGGGGACGGCGGGGGCAGAGAAGACGGAGGAGGGGCCCGGCCCGCCCCCGGCCCUCGCCGAGAGGAUGCGCCCCCCCAGUCCGCGGCGCUGGCCCUCGGGGCGCCCCGAUACCUACACGCCGCGCCUCCUUCCGCUCCUCGGCCCGCCGCCUCCCUCUUCCCGGGCCCUUUCUCUGCCCUCCCCGCCCCGGCGCCCCCCGCCCCCCCCGCCGCCCCACGCCCCCCGCCCGCCGCCCUCCCGGGCCGGGCUCGGGCCCCGCGGCGUCCGCGGCCGAGACGGGGCGGGGCGUCGGGCGCCGCGCCCGCGCCGGGCCCCCCGCGCCCCCUUCUCCUUCCACACUCCCUGCCGUCCAUCUUGA